rnacentral:rRNA from 1 species
GAACGAGAAAGUGGAGCAAUCCAUGAGUAAAGUGGCGACCGGGUGAGUAACACGUGACUAACCUGCCCUAGAGUGGGGGAUAACCUCGGGAAACCGGGGCUAAUACCGCAUAACAUCGCGAGGGGAAGAUCCUUGUGAUCAAAGGAGCAAUUCGCUCCGGGAGGGGGUCGCGGCUGAUUAGCUAGUUGGUGAGGUAACGGCCCACCAAGGCUUCGAUCAGUAGCCGGCCUGAGAGGGCGCACGGCCACACUGGAACUGAAACACGGUCCAGACUCCUACGGGAGGCAGCAGUGGGGAAUUUUGCGCAAUGGGGGAAACCCUGACGCAGCAACGCCGCGUGGAGGAUGAAGUCCCUUGGGAUGUAAACUCCUUUCGAUCGGGACGAUUAUGACGGUACCGGAAGAAGAAGCACCGGCUAACUCUGUG